rnacentral:rRNA from 1 species
AGUGAACGCUGGCGGUAGGCCUAACACAUGCAAGUCGAACGGCAGCACAGUAAGAGCUUGCUCUUACGGGUGGCGAGUGGCGGACGGGUGAGGAAUACAUCGGAAUCUACUUUUUCGUGGGGGAUAACGUAGGGAAACUUACGCUAAUACCGCAUACGACCUACGGGUGAAAGCAGGGGAUCUUCGGACCUUGCGCGAUUGAAUGAGCCGAUGUCGGAUUAGCUAGUUGGCGGGGUAAAGGCCCACCAAGGCGACGAUCCGUAGCUGGUCUGAGAGGAUGAUCAGCCACACUGGAACUGAGACACGGUCCAGACUCCUACGGGAGGCAGCAGUGGGGAAUAUUGGACAAUGGGCGCAAGCCUGAUCCAGCCAUACCGCGGGGGUGAAGAAGGCCUUCGGGUUGUAAAGCCCUUUUGUUGGGAAAGAAAAGCAGCAGGUUAAUACCCCGCUGUUCUGACGGUACCCAAAGAAUAAGCACCGGCUAACUUCGUG